rnacentral:rRNA from 1 species
GCCCUUAGAGUUUGAUCCUGGCUCAGAUUGAACGCUGGCGGCAUGCCUUACACAUGCAAGUCGAACGGUAACAGGUCUUCGGAUGCUGACGAGUGGCGAACGGGUGAGUAAUACAUCGGAACGUGCCCGAUCGUGGGGGAUAACGAGGCGAAAGCUUUGCUAAUACCGCAUACGAUCUACGGAUGAAAGCGGGGGAUCUUCGGACCUCGCGCGGACGGAGCGGCCGAUGGCAGAUUAGGUAGUUGGUGGGAUAAAAGCUUACCAAGCCGACGAUCUGUAGCUGGUCUGAGAGGAUGAUCAGCCACACUGGGACUGAGACACGGCCCAGACUCCUACGGGAGGCAGCAGUGGGGAAUUUUGGACAAUGGGCGAAAGCCUGAUCCAGCCAUGCCGCGUGCAGGAUGAGGGCCUUCGGGUUGUAAACUGCUUUUGUACGGAACGAAAAGCCUCUUUCUAAUAAAGAGGGGUCAUGACGGUACCGUAAGAAUAAGCACCGGCUAACUACGUGCCAGCAGCCGCGGUAAUACGUAGGGUGCAAGCGUUAAUCGGAAUUACUGGGCGUAAAGCGUGCGCAGGCGGUUUUGUAAGACA